rnacentral:rRNA from 1 species
GAUGAACGCUGGCGGCGUGCCUAAUAAAUGCAAGUCGAGCGAACAGACGAGGAGCUUGCUCCUCUGACGUUAGCGGCGGACGGGUGAGUAACACGUGGAUAACCUACCUAUAAGACUGGGAUAACUUCGGGAAACCGGAGCUAAUACCGGAUAAUAUAUUGAACCGCAUGGUUCAAUAGUGAAAGACGGUUUUGCUGUCACUUAUAGAUGGAUCCGCGCCGCAUUAGCUAGUUGGUAAGGUAACGGCUUACCAAGGCAACGAUGCGUAGCCGACCUGAGAGGGUGAUCGGCCACCCUGGAACUGAGACACGGUCCAGACUCCUACGGGAGGCAGCAGUAGGGAAUCUUCCGCAAUGGGCGAAAGCCUGACGGAGCAACGCCGCGUGAGUGAUGAAGGUCUUCGGAUCGUAAAACUCUGUUAUUAGGGAAGAACAAAUGUGUAAGUAACUAUGCACGUCUUGACGGUACCUAAUCAGAAAGCCACGGCUAACUACGUG